UGUUCAAUCGGAGAGAUGGUGGGACCUGC
rnacentral:piRNA from 1 species